rnacentral:sRNA from 1 species
AGCUUUACAUUAAAAAAAUAACACAACAAAUACAAAUGGGGAAAAAUGUCUGAAAAAAGCGCUAACUUUCAAAUUUGGGACGAAAAAAACAUGAACUUUCGAAAUGUCAUUUAAUUCAUAAAGUUUUCUUUGAAUUUUUGAUAACAUUGUCAAGUUUUGUUGACUGUGUCAUUUCCAGCAUGCCGUAAAAUUUUCGUAAACGGGGGCAUUUCGGACAUGCCGUAAAAUUUUCGUAAACGGAUUUAACUUUCCGUUAGAAUUUUUUGUUAAAUCAAAACGACGUCGUUUUAUGAGCCAUAAUACGAUGUCGUUUUGUUAGAAAAUAA